UACGUAGGUGGCAAGCGUUGUCCGGAAUUAUUGGGCGUAAAGCGCGCGCAGGCGGUCCUUUAAGUCUGAUGUGAAAGCCCACGGCUCAACCGUGGAGGGUCAUUGGAAACUGGGGGACUUGAGUACAGAAGAGGAAAGCGGAAUUCCACGUGUAGCGGUGAAAUGCGUAGAGAUGUGGAGGAACACCAGUGGCGAAGGCAGCUCACUGGGACGGUACUGACGCUGAGACGCGAAAGCGUGGGGAGCAAACAGG
rnacentral:rRNA from 1 species